UCUCUCUCUCUCUCUCUCUCUUAACCUUCGUUCCCCAAUUCCUCAGAUUCUUCUUUCUCCGUCGCUGAGAAUAAAGGAGGACAAAGUUCUUCUCUUUUCUGAAUCCCCUCUAUUCUAUCUAAACCCUAACCCACUCCCCUCAAUUUCAUUUUAAGAGUGAAAAACCACUUCCUUAUCCACAAGCCCAAAACGUUCUUGUUUGCUCCUCCGGUAGAAAGAAAAUGGCGACUGCAAACGCUCUCUCUUC
rnacentral:lncRNA from 1 species